rnacentral:rRNA from 1 species
GACAGAGGUGCAAACGUUGUUCGGAAUUACUGGGCGUAAAGCGCGUGUAGGCGGCUUUGCAAGUCGGAUGUGAAAGCCCUCGGCUCAACCGAGGAAGUGCGUUCGAAACUGCAGAGCUUGAGUACCGGAGAGGGUGGCGGAAUUCCCCAAGUAGAGGUGAAAUUCGUAGAUAUGGGGAGGAACACCGGUGGCGAAGGCGGCCACCUGGACGGUCACUGACGCUGAGACGCGAAAGCGUGGGUAGCAAACAGG